rnacentral:rRNA from 1 species
UACGGAGGGUGCAAGCGUUAUCCGGAUUCACUGGGUUUAAAGGGUGCGUAGGCGGGUUGGUAAGUCCGUGGUGAGAUCUCCGAGCUUAACUCGGAAACUGCCGUGGAUACUAUCAAUCUUGAAUAUCGUGGAGGUAAGCGGAAUAUGUCAUGUAGCGGUGAAAUGCUUAGAGAUGACAUAGAACACCAAUUGCGUAGGCAGCUUACUACACGAUCAUUGACGCUGAGGCACGAAAGCGUGGGGAGCAAACAGG